AACGCACAUUGCGCCCUUUAGUAUUCUGAAGGGCAUGCCUGUUCGAGCGUCAUUAUCACUACUCAAGCCCGGCUUGCUGUUGGACCUCUUGUCGUGUCACCACGACGGGCCCCAAAGAUAAUGACGGUUGUUAAUUAGACCCUAGAUGCAACGAGCUUUCAUUAGCACGCAUGAUAGUGGACUUUUUAACCCGGUCGGUUUUAACCCCAUUUCUAAGGUUGACCUCGGAUCAGGUAGGAAUACCCGCUGAACUUAA
rnacentral:misc_RNA from 1 species